GUGAUAAAUUGAACCUGUGAUGAAUGGUGAAAUACAUGUGUAUUGAGAUGUGUGUAUUGAGUUGUGAGCUAUGAACUGUGCAAUCAUACAAUUGUAAGACCAUUUAAGGGCGACAAGUUUUUGCGUGACGAGUAUUGUGAUGGGAUCCACUGUGCGGACCCGACGAGUUUAAUCACAAGUGUGAUGAGAUAAAAUUAUUUUGAAAACAAUUGAAAAGUCGUGUGUAUUGCAUAGUUCAU
rnacentral:lncRNA from 1 species